CUGAGAUAUUCAAACCUCAUCACAGAGCUUGUGUCUAUCUUCACCAAUCUCACACUCACAUGGUGUGAGAUUGCUCUGGCCUGCAGCACCUAUGAGAACAAGCUCGUCCUGCAUGCCUGCAUUUCAGCUUCUUAGACUCUACACAAGUGGACAGAGUGUCAGUGUUUGACCGCUCUUAUAGACACCGACUUCUGUCACCUCACUGCUACUGAUCUGGCACCUCACUCCAGGAAGACAGAGGGUUGCAAGCCUGUCAUCGUUUCCAGUGUGACUUUGCAUUCUUGGAGUAGCAUCAGAUUUUUCCCACAAAUAUUCAAAGAUGCAGUGAUCGGAUAUGCUGGGGCUUUGUUAACAGUGUGGAAAACGUGUUUGUGAUGGUAUUUAAAAUGAGGCUUUAAGGUGACAGUUUCCAUGUAAUUUCAGUCCUUUUACUAAACAAAAACAUCUUUUUCAUAACAUCUUUUUAAUUUUUUUUUAGCAGCACAUCAUUGGUCAAAGGUAAAAAGAGUCACAUGUCACAUCAACAAUGAAUUUUUGACUCUAUUUGUGUCACCAGAUUUAAGAAACAAUAUCAGUAUCAAAUCAUAUGAUAUUAUAUGAUAUAUCAUUUGAAACUGAGCUUUGGAUUAAUGUGGAAAUAUAUUGUUUUGUAUUUUCGAUUGUUGAAUAUUUAUGUUGUAGAAAAAACCCAAUCUAUUUACCCAAACAACGCAACUUGUUUGGGUAAAUAGUGGAUUAGUGUAAUUUUAGUCUAUAAGCAUAGCAACCUGAAUUCAUACAAACACACAGCUCUAAAUCUUGAAUUGUUGGAUGCACAAUAAUGAUCAUUUGAUUAUUAUGGACAUUUAAAUCAGAAUCUAUUGAACCAUUACAUAUAUUCUUUAUAAAGAUUACACAACCUCAAAAUGCAAAAAAAGAAAGUGUUUUAGAGGAUAAAUAAAGAAAGCUCAAAGUGUGUUUGUAUGAAUACUGCCUUAGUAUGGGGUGUCAGUAAGUACAUGAGUAUGGAAUAGGUGUAACAGUGGUUUUCCACAUCUGUGCUUAGACUGCUCUAAUAUGUACAGAUAAUCGGUCAGACAUAUAGUUUGACCCAUUAAGUCUGUUUGAAAAGUUCAUGAAGUUCAUGAAGGUCUCAUCCAGUGCUAUGUGUUUCUGUUUAUCAUUUUAUAUGAGGUCACACAGCUGACUUGAGUUUUGAUCAGAGUAGAACCAUAACAUACAAUAUUCUUGCCAAAACAGGUGCACCCCUGUUUUGGAAAUAUUCUUUAUUUCAUCCCUGUUUCUUUAAAUAUGUGCAUCAAUUGUUCAGCUGUGUGACUCUCCAUACCUGAAAUAUAUCCCAAUGUCGGCUUUAUUUCAACAGUAUUUUGUAGUUUGGUACCAUAUUUAUUAUCAAAUCAAGAAGCUGUAAUUGAAAAAAAAGAAGCUCUUGAAAGUUACAUGUGCCAUAUGUAGCUGUAGCUCAGGUGUCAGAGCAGGUCAGCUACUAAUUGGAAGGUUUGUGUUUCGAUCUCAAUCUGCUCCAGUCUGGAGCAUGCCAAAUAUCCUUGGGUAUGAUACUAACCCCAUGUUGCCCUUUGAUGCAUCCAUCGGAGUGUGAAUGUGUAUGAAUGUCAGAUAGUGAGCACUUAAAAGGUUAGAAAAGGUGCUUGUGUGAUUGGUUGAAUGAAUUAGUUGUAUAAAGUGCUUUGAGUGCUCAGAUAGAGUAGAAAAGCAUGUUGUUUAUCCUUGACAUACGGUGUGUGCACAAAACUCCAGCAAAUUAGAGAAUAUAUUUUGUCUUUCACUUCCUGCUUUUAUAUGUGUAUAUUUUUGCAGUUAAUAGCCUAU